CUUUCACUGACUGUGGGGCAGGGUUUCUCUGUGUAGCUUUGGAGCCUAUCCUGGCACUCGCUCUGGAGACCAGGCUGGCCUCGAACUCACAGAGAUCUGCCUGCCUCUGCCUCCUGAGUGCUGGGAUUAAAGGCGUGUGCCACCACAUCCACCCCUACUUGUUGGUCAUGUGUAUACACAGACCUGUGUCAUGGUGGAGAUGGAACCCAGGCCUUCCAUAUUCCAGUUUAUAAUGUCAGACAGACUGCCAGAUCCGGACAGUGACCCAAAGUCUCCAAAGAAGAUUACGAGGCACCUCAGUUCCUGCACCUGGACCAGUGAGCGAGAUGCUCAGAUGUGAUACCUGCCGCCUGCCAGGACCUGGCCGAGACUGUGGACAAAGCUGCUGGACACUGGAAAAUUGAUUGCACCCCUUUGCCUAGACAAAACAAGGUCAGUCUUUUCCAUGUCCCUCUUCCACAGAGAGGAAAAAAAAACUCUCACAGUAUAGGCCUGGCGAAGAUUGCUGUUCUUUGAGACAGCUGCCUCCAACGGUAAUGGAGAAACUUGGGUUUGGCUAACUGUAUAUAGACUGGCUUCUAACUGGCUUCUGUCACUUUUUAGUAGAUUCGGACAAAAUAUACCCUUCUCAGAUCUCUGAAAUAUUACUGGUUGUCAGCUUGACAGCAUCAGGCAGUCAGGUCCACUAUAGACUAGUCAGUAUGUUAGCUAAUAAAAUAGUAACUAUCUACUGUUCAGGCACGAGCUCAAAGUUUUUAAGUUUAUUUUGGUUGUCAUCUAAGUACAAACUUAAAGGGCUUUUCAUCAGGCCAAAGGCACCUCUGUCCAAUCCAUACCUGGCUCUCUGGACAGAAGAGAAAUGUACAUGCUUAUAGCCC
rnacentral:lncRNA from 1 species